rnacentral:rRNA from 1 species
ACGCUCGACACCUACGGGACGCAGCAGUCGGGAAUAUUGCGCAAUGGAGGAAACUCUGACGCAGUGACGCCGCGUGCAGGAAGAAGGUUUUCGGAUUGUAAACUGCUUUAGACAGGGAAGAAAGAAAUGACAGUACCUGUAGAAUAAGCUCCGGCUAACUACGUGCCAGCACGCCGGCGGUAUCUGAGGCGGGCGUGGACGAAGGC